UUUUUUGGUUGGGAUAUAAAAACCCUGUAACAGGGUUUUUAGUUUUGGGAAUAAAAUAUUGGACAUUUUAUUGGCCACUUUAUAUAAUCAUUAUAUAAAUUUAAUUAUUUUGGAUUCGAAGAACUGACGACAAAUUCUGCAGUAUAACUCCGU